rnacentral:rRNA from 1 species
AGAACGAACGCUGGCGGCAUGCCUAAUACAUGCAAGUCGAACGAAGGCUUCGGCCUUAGUGGCGCACGGGUGCGUAACGCGUGGGAAUCUGCCCCUUGGUUCGGAAUAACAGUUGGAAACGACUGCUAAUACCGGAUGAUGACGAAAGUCCAAAGAUUUAUCGCCAAGGGAUGAGCCCGCGUAGGAUUAGCUAGUUGGUGAGGUAAAGGCUCACCAAGGCGACGAUCCUUAGCUGGUCUGAGAGGAUGAUCAGCCACACUGGGACUGAGACACGGCCCAGACUCCUACGGGAGGCAGCAGUAGGGAAUAUUGGACAAUGGG